rnacentral:rRNA from 1 species
GAUGAACGCUAGCGGCAGGCUUAAUACAUGCAAGUCGAGGGGCAGCGGGAGUAGCAAUACUUGCCGGCGACCGGCGCACGGGUGCGUAACACGUAUGUAAUCUGCCCAUCACAGGAGGAUAGCCCGGAGAAAUUCGGAUUAAUACUCCAUAAUAGAAGAUAAAGCAUUUUAUUUCUUGAAAGUUCCGACGGUGAUGGAUGAACAUGCGACUGAUUAGUUUGUUGGUGAGGUAACGGCUCACCAAGACUACGAUCAGUAGGGGUACUGAGAGGUUAAACCCCACACUGGUACUGAGACACGGACCAGACUCCUACGGGAGGCAGCAGUAAGGAAUAUUGGACAAU